AUGGAUGAAUUGGAUUUUACAACUAGGGGCAGGGAUUUUGGCCAGCAGCCUGCAAGGUUGCUUCUAGAUUCCUCUCUCAUUGGGAUUAGAGGGGGGAAUUUAACCGAAUUGCAGUGCACACAGGGUAAAAUUGCUUCUAGCUUGAAUCGUGCUGCUUGGGAGCAGAAUCCAAGUGGAUUUCUUCCGAAGUCGCCUUUCGACCACUAUGCUGUUGCGCGUAAGUUAGCUCUGCCAUGCUUACCAUCACAAGGAAAGUAUCUUGUCCACACAUCACCAAGGAAAGCAUGUCGACCGAGGAGGUGGAGAAGAGUGGGGAGGGAAUUAAGAGUCAAUCCAUUAGAUCUGGAUGUCAAUUUCUUGGUGCUAGCCACUGGCUACUCAUUAGGGAUAGUAUCAAAGAAUUUAGACCAAAGGACAUUAAGUCCCAGCUUUAUUGCAAGCAAAUGCUUAGUGGGGUCAAUGAUAGAUGGACAUCGGAAUGGGAAAAGGAUUAGGGUGAAGGAUUUUGGUUUGGGUGGAGUAGGUUGCAAGACACGUCGAUGGGCUAUUAGGACCAGGGGAGAGGCUUCCUUCGGUGAAUCUUACCUGAUGGCAUCUGAUGCAGGUGAUGCUUUUAGCAACAACAGGCAUCAAACAAUGUCGCUGAGUUAUGAUGGGUCUCAAAGUGAGGAUCGGCAAAGUGAGGAGGUUCAGUCAGCAUACAAAAAGUUCAGUGCAGGGGAUGAGGAUGUGAUAAGGGGUUUUGUAAAUUUGGAUGAAACUGAAGAGCAAAAUGAAGAAAAUGAGUGGAGUUGGGUGCCCCAAGAGGAGGAUCCUCUUGCUGAAUCAGCUUCUUCGCUUGAGAAAGCACAAGAAGUUCUUGAAAAAUUCUUCAAGAAAAAUGAAGAUCUUGAAACUGAGAUGCUGAAAUUGUCAGAACUUGGCAAGGAGUUUGUGGCUGAGGAUUCACAUGAUGGCAACAUAGGUUUGCCUUAUAUAGGGGCUGAUGUACUGGGGAUGAAUCAAAAGAUGGAAUGUCUUGAACUGAAACUGAAAGAAGCGUCAGAUACUAUCACAGAGAAGGAUUCAAGAUUAUCCGAGCUCCAGUCACUUAUCAACAGUGCACAUACACCAACGCUGCAGACGGAGCCCGUCAACGUUGAUGAGUUGGAGACCGAGCUUGAGAGCCACCUUCAGGACAAAAUCGAAGCCGAGAUUCAGUGUCUGGUCAUGGUGAAAGCAAGGCAAAACUGGCAAGCCCGGGCCGAGGACCAGAUUGCCUUGGAGGAGCACAAGCUCUCCGCCGGGGAAGACACAAGGAUGUUGCUCAAGCUACAAGACACGGAGAAGAAGAUCGUGAUGCUGAAGGAGCAGGUGGACAGACUAGAGGCCCACGAGAAGGAGCUGUCGGUGACGACGGAGGUCCUGAGGAUGCAAAGCAAGACCUUCAAAAUCGGCCUCUUCGGUCUCCUCCAGCUGAUCAUGCUGUGCCUUUCCCUCAAGAUGUUCUUCGCCCAGGACUCUGCCCGCUUCGGCGAUCUCGUGCCGACAUGA
rnacentral:rRNA from 1 species